AUAAUGGAGUGAAAGACAGCACUGGGAGGGAAUUCAGAGUUCAUCUAAGGCCAGGAUUCCUGAAAAUGACUGUAUUUCCCAGUUACCAGAUUCAGCCCUGUCUGGGGUACAGAAGUCAGCUAAACCUCAAGAUUGUGUCAAACCUGGGGCUGCCUCAGGAUCACCUGUUGCUGUGGAUGGGAGUCUGGCUACUGGGCUUUUGCCUUGAUACAGAUGAGCCAGAGAGCCAUGGAGACCUCUUUGUGUGACCCAGAGGAACAGAGAUGGGCAGAGAUGGAAGAGACAGUUUUAGCUGGAAACAGAGUUGGGAGUACUAGCUCCUUCACCAGGGCCCUGGCAGUGCUGCAGGGCCAGUUAUCUCUCGAUCACUGAACACACUGACUUGCUGCACAGUAUCUAAUUACAUCUGUAUAAGAGCUGGAGAGUGUCCUCCAGCAAAGGUGUGGCUGAGGUGUAAACACACCUUUCGGACAUCCAAGUUGCUGCCCCAGCUGCUGUGCUCUCAAAUCCAUCCCCACGUUCUGCUGUUCCAAUAACUGAGCAUGUCCGGAGUGCUACUGCAGGCUGGUUCUCGGGACACACAGGACUUGUUGGAAGCUGGCGUCCCCCCCUGCCCCCUUCAACAGCCUUGCCAAACCUUCCUGAGACUGCUGGAGGUCUGGGGCAGUCCACCCAAAUAUCCUUCCUCGGUCCUUUGCUGGGGCUCAGGCUUCGGGGCAACUCUCCCAGACUUCACUUCCCUCUCUGUUCUCUCUUAC